UACGAGGGGGGCGAGCGUUGUUCGGAGUUACUGGGAGUAAAGGGCGCGUAGGCGGCGCACCAAGGCAGGCGUGAAAGCCCUGGGCUCAACCCGGGAAUUGCGCUUGAGACUGGUGUGCUUGAGUACGGGAGAGGAUAGUGGAAUUCCCAGUGUAGAGGUGAAAUUCGUAGAUAUUGGGAAGAACACCGGUGGCGAAGGCGGCUAUCUGGACCGUAACUGACGCUGAGGCGCGAAAGCGUGGGGAGCAAACAGG
rnacentral:rRNA from 1 species